rnacentral:ncRNA from 2 species
CGCUCCGAGGAGCGUUGCAGCGCCGUCAAGCGUGAGGCUCGGACCACAUCGCAACCACGCUCACCCGCU